rnacentral:lncRNA from 1 species
CAGUGACUGCGCAGUCACACAGCUAAUGAGCCUCACUGGACUCAGCAUUCCCCGCAUGCCCCACAGGGCACCCAGCAGACUGCCCUUUCCCUCCUGGGAAUCUCCCGUGAGGCCACUGAGCAGGGACAGCGUCCCUGAGGGUUGGAGAUGUGCUCCCCCAGCACCCAGCUUGGUAUCUGGUAGACAGGGCAGGAGGGGGAACUGAAAGAUUGGUAUUCAUUCAAGUGCAGGGUGUGUGUGUGUGUGUGUGUGUGUGUGUGUUAAAGGGCACAAAGAAUCUGCAGCCAGGAAGUGACAGGAUCCUGAGGCUAAUGGAGAAGAAGGGGUGUAGCCGGGUGAGGGCAGAGGCAGGGAGGUCCAGGAGGCACUCGGAGCACUGAGGCUGGAAUUGAGGAGGCCGUGGUGGUGGGGUCUCAGGUGUCUAGAGGCUGAGUGGGUGGGGAUGAGCCACAGCCUGGACCUCAGGCUCUGGAGGACCACAAGAGGACCAGGGAGUGUCCUUUACAUAUGGAAAGAGCCCCAGAGGAGGAGCCAGGGGGUGUGGCCGAGAGGCAAGGAAUCCAGUUUUGGCCAAGGGGCCCCAGGUCCUCACAGUGGGGACAUCCAGCAUCUCCGAAGGUCUCUGGGACUUAGCAAUGACCAGAUGAACCCUGUCCCCAUCCCUGCAGUCAGCUUGUCACAUAGGACCUGGGGACCACUGCCUGGGCUACAGGACAGUAGGCGAGCACAGAAGGAAGGCAGCGGGUCUGGCUGGACCUGGGGGUGACCCCCAUCUGCUCCUGAGAUGUUCGCAGGUUCCUCUGUCCAGGUGCAGCUUUCGGGAGGGAGCGCAGGCCCAGGCUUGGCGGGAGAGGUCUGGGCCGCCUGCGCCUCGGCCCUAGGACAAGAGCAGAGGGGGCCUCACCCAGUGCCCCAGUCCCCAGAGCAGGCCGAGAUCAAGGAGGGUCCUGGAGAUUUCCCGCCCCUUUUAAUCCAGGCUGGGGACCCUCCAUUGUUUCCUGCUUCUGAACUGAGGGCCGGUGGCCUUUCCCAAACCUGCUAAUGAGUGACGUGGCCCAGGCAGGCCCACUGUGGGGAAGAGCCCAACACCGUGCAAACCCCUUCCCAUCACCUGGACAGAGCCGUGCCCCGUGGUGUUAUCUGAGGGUUUGUUCCCCAACCUCCGUUUCCACGAGGCUUUGGGCCUAGA